UACGUAGGGUGCAAGCGUUAUCCGGAAUUAUUGGGCGUAAAGAGCUCGUAGGCGGUUUGUCGCGUCUGCUGUGAAAACUGGAGGCUCAACCUCCAGCCUGCAGUGGGUACGGGCAGGCUAGAGUUCGGCAGGGGAGAACGGAAUUCCUGGUGUAGCGGUGAAAUGCGCAGAUAUCAGGAGGAACACCGGUGGCGAAGGCGGUUCUCUGGGCAUUACCUGACGCUGAGGAGCGAAAGUGUGGGGAGCGAACAGG
rnacentral:rRNA from 1 species